rnacentral:rRNA from 1 species
CUACGGGAGGCAGCAGUGGGGAAUCUUGCGCAAUGGGGGAAGCCCUGACGCAGCAACGCCGCGUGGGUGAUGAAGGCCUUCGGGUCGUAAAGCCCUGUCAGGUGGGAAGAAACGUGCUGCUAUGAAUAAUAACAGCAUUUGACGGUACCACCGGAGGAAGCACCGGCUAACUCCGUGCCAGCAGCCGCGGUAAUACGGAGGGUGCGAGCGUUGUUCGGAAUCAUUGGGCGUAAAGGGCGUGCAGGCGGCCAGAUAAGUCUGAUGUGAAAGCCCGGGGCUCAACCCCGGAAGUGCAUUGGAAACUGUAUGGCUUGAGUACCGGAGAGGAUGGGGGAAUUCCCGGUGUAGAGGUGAAAUUCGUAGAGAUCGGGAGGAAUACCAGUGGCGAAGGCGCCCAUCUGGACGGAUACUGACGCUGAGACGCGAAAGCGUGGGGAGCAAACAGGAUUAGAUACCCUGGUAGUCCACGCUGUAAACGAUGAGCACUAGGUGUAGCGGGUAUUGACCCCUGCUGUGCCGCAGCUAACGCAUUAAGUGCUCCGCCUGGGGAUUACGGUCGCAAGACUAAAACUCAAAGGAAUUGACGG